rnacentral:rRNA from 1 species
GACGAACGCUGGCGGCGUGCUUAACACAUGCAAGUCGAACGGUGAAGCUCCAGCUUGCUGGAGUGGAUCAGUGGCGAACGGGUGAGUAACACGUGAGCAACCUGCCCCUGACUCUGGAAUAAGCGCUGGAAACGGCGUCUAAUACUGGAUACGAGAAGGGUCCGCAUGGGCACUUUCUGGAAAGUUUUUCGGUUGGGGAUGGGCUCGCGGCCUAUCAGCUUGUUGGUGAGGUAAUGGCUCACCAAGGCGACGACGGGUAGCCGGCCUGAGAGGGCGACCGGCCACACUGGGACUGAGACACGGCCCAGACUCCUACGGGAGGCAGCAGUGGGGAAUAUUGCACAAUGGGCGAAAGCCUGAUGCAGCGACGCCGCGUGAGGGAGGACGGCCUUCGGGUUGUAAACCUCUUUCAGCAGGGAAGAAGCGAAAGUGACGGUACCGGCAGAAGAAGCACCGGCUAACUACGU